CGCUGCGGAGUAGCCUGGUACCUGUGUGAUUUGUCAUCAACAUAAACAGAGAGAAGUAGCUCCAGCUACAAUGUUCUUCUACAAGACACACGCAGUUCUGUUUAUUAACCUCUAGAGCAGGGGUGCCCAACACUGCUCCUGGCGAUCGAUUGUCCUGCAAUGUUUAGCUCCAACCCUAAUCAAACACACCUGCCUUUAAUUUUUGAGUGAGCCUGAAGACCUUAAUUAGUUGCUUCAGGUGUGUUUGAUAAGGGUUGCUGAACUUUGCAGGACAGUCGAUCGCCAGGAGCAGGGUUGGGCACCCCUGCUCUAGAGUGACAAAAAUUAUGGACUGCAGCUUUAAGUCAGAAGAGUCUAUCAAGUGUGUCAGUUUUCAAUAUACCCAAAAUAUACAAGUUGGGUAGGGUUCCCAAACCACCAGGGGCCAACUUGCUCUGAAAGUAGUGAAUCACUAUAUCAUACUCGGAUAUCAUGCAGUGUGGGCCACUCUGCUCUAUCUAUCUGGAGCAUAAAAAAGAAAAGAAAAGUGCCAAGAACGUGAAGAAAAUAAGUAACAAGAAGGUAUGAUUUGUAAUAUUUUACAUUGCUAUAUAUAGUUUUGAAUGUGUCAGGUGUGUUUUGAUAGAAAUGCCCUAUGAUGAAAUGUAAUUUCAAUGCAAUUGCAAAAUGCAAAAUGCAAUUUGUGCCAG
ensembl:lncRNA